GACGAACGCUGGCGGCGUGCCUAAUACAUGCAAGUCGAACGAGUGGCGGAUGGGUGAGUAACACGUGGGAAUCUACCCAUCAGAGGGGGAUAACUGCUGGCAACGGUGGCUAAUACCGCCUACUAUCGGAUGAACCCAUAUGGGAUUAGCUAGUAGGUGGGGUAAAGGCUCACCUAGGCGACGAUCUCUAGCUGGUCUGAGAGGAUGAUCAGCCACACUGGAACUGAGACACGGCCCAGACUCCUACGGGAGGCAGCAGUGGGGAAUAUUGCACAAUGGGCGCAAGCCUGAUGCAGCCAUGCCGCGUGUAUGAAGAAGGCCUUAGGGUUGUAAAGUACUUUCAGCGGGGAGGCGUUACCCGCAGAAGAAGCACCGGCUAACUCCGUGCCAGCAGCCGCGGUAAUAC
rnacentral:rRNA from 1 species